rnacentral:rRNA from 1 species
CCUACGGGAGGCAGCAGUGAGGAAUAUUGGUCAAUGGGCGGGAGUCUGAACCAGCCAAGUCGCGUGAGGGACGACGGUCCUAUGGAUUGUAAACCUCUUUUGUCGGGGAACAAAGGCGCCCACGGGUGGGCGCAUGAGUGUACCCGAAGAAAAAGCAUCGGCUAACUCCGUGCCAGCAGCCGCGGUAAUACGGAGGAUGCGAGCGUUAUCCGGAUUUAUUGGGUUUAAAGGGUGCGUAGGCGGACCGUCAAGUCAGCGGUAAAAAUGCGGUGCUCAACGCCGUACAGCCGUUGAAACUGGCAGUCUUGAGUGGGCGAGAAGUAUGCGGAAUGCGUGGUGUAGCGGUGAAAUGCAUAGAUAUCACGCAGAACUCCGAUUGCGAAGGCAGCAUACCGGCGCCCUACUGACGCUGAGGCACGAAAGCGUGGGUAUCGAACAGGAUUAGAUACCCGAGUAGUC